GCCCGUGAUGACCGAGACUUCUUCACUUUGACCUGACCUCUGGUGAAGACAGCCUGUGUCUGAGG